CUAUAAAAGAUGUAACAGAUGCAAACUGUAACACAAGGGCCAUUAACCCUUUCUCUGCCGACCACACUCAGUUCCCCCCACCCCCCCACGCCCGGCACCUAUUGUCUCCUGUGCUGGAAGCUUUGCGGAAAACCUGGAA
rfam:Sorex araneus cont1.117093, whole genome shotgun sequence.